GCUGCACAAUUAAUCGAAUUUCUAAUCGCGAUCACGAUUACAGAAGCCACGAUUACGUAAUCGUCCAAAGCCGCGAUUACACACAAAAAAAAAAAAAUCUGCGUGCAUAGGAGGCGUGUUUAGAUCAUGUCAGGUUGUGAGUGGCGAAUCACCACUUUUAAUAAUAGUCUGUAGGCGUGUCAUUAUCAACGACCAGAUUAUCCACUGAUACGUCUCAUGUCAUGUUAAUUUCAUCAUGUCUGCUGAUAGAACAACAUCCGAUUCCGACAACGUGCAAAGUGCUCAUCCACAAUUAGAACCGAAAAGAAAAGCAACAUCAGUGGUGUGGAAUUAUUUCGGAUUCACCAGAGAUGAUGUCGAUCAGCGUGUUAUACUGUGUAAAUUGUGUCGAUCAACUGUUUCUGCACCAUCAAGCAACACCACAAAUUUAUACAACCAUUUAAAAUUCAACCACAGAGUGCAAUACGAGGAGUGUCUCAGCGUAAAAAAAAAAGCGCCAAGUGAUGCGAGAACUGCAACACAGACACCCAUCACGAAAUCUUUGUUUAAUGCUACUCCGUACCCGGCAGGUUCCCAAAAGCAGAUCGAGAUAACUGAAGCGAUCGCGCAUUUCAUUGCAAAAGACAUGGUGCCGAUUAAUACAGUUUGCAGCGCGGGGUUUAAAAAACUCAUAAACACACUGGACAAGAGAUACGUCAUCCCCUCCCGCAAUUAUUUUUCUAAAGUUGCGCUGCCUUCGCUUUAUUCAAAAUGCCGGGAAAGCAUUGAAUCAGAUCUGCAGAAAAUUGAGUUCUAUUCCACCACGACUGAUUUAUGGUCGAGUAGAACUAUGGAACCAUAUAUGAGCCUUACGGUUCAUUACAUUGAUGACGAGUUUCAACUCAAAACCAGAUGCUUGCAAACGUCCUAUUUUCCGCAAGAUCACACCGGGGAUGCGAUUGCUCAAGGACUGAAAGAGAUGCUGGGUGCCUGGGAUUUAAAGGAGGAGCAACAAGUCUGUGUCACAACAGACAACGCAGCAAAUAUAGUGAACGCUAUUGCUAUCAAUAAGUGGAGCAGACUUCAGUGUUUUGGACACAGGCUGCACCUAGCAAUUGAACAUUCUUUGAAAGAUGGACGGAUUGACCGUGCACUAAAUGUCUGCAAAAAGGUGGUAGGGUGCUUCUCCUAUAGCUGGAGACGAAGGAGGGAGUUGUCCGAGGCCCAGAAAGAGCUCAAGCUCAAAACAAGCAAUGAUCGCCAGGGUAUUGGAACAACAGAGUGCCAUUUCUUUUGUUCUCUCCGCGGACAGAAAAGCCAGACACCUUGUCCCCACAUGGCAGGAUGUAGAGGUCCUUGAGGCGGUCAACAACUCCCUUUCUCCACUUGCUGAAUUCACGGAUGCUCUUUCAGGAGAGCAAUAUAUUCAAGCUCAAGUACGUCAAUGAGAACAGAGUUGAAGCUGUCAAGACUCGUUUGAGAGCUGAAAUGGCAUCAAUAUCUACUACAGUCAAGCCUCAACCAUCGGUGACUGUUAGAGAGGAAGCAGAUGACCAAAAUGCUCCAGCACUAAAGAAGACCAAAAAAACACUGGGCAGCUUCUUUAAAGUAGAUGAGGACCAGAGGCCAGCAUCGCCAUCUCUCAAUCUCCAAGACAUGGCCAUUACUGCAGAGCUACAGUCUUAUUUUCUAUCUGCUGCUGUUGAUAGUGAGGAGGAUCCUUUGGUCUGGUGGAAGGAACAUGCAAAACAAUUCCCAGCACUAUCCAAGUUGGCACAAAAGUAUUUGUGCAUUCCUGCCACAAGCUCUCCCUCGGAAAGAGUAUUCAGCACUGGAGGAAACAUUGUGAAUUGUUUGCGUGCAUCCCUAAAGCCUGAAAGUGUGGACAGGCUUGUGUUCCUAGCCAAAAAUCUUUAAAAGUCUAACUUGAUGUUGUUCAUUCCUGAAACCUUGAAGUGUUUUUAUGUCUUGUGUUCUAGGCCAAAAUACUUCAUAUGGCAAACUCAGUUUUUUUCUUUCUACAGGUUAUCUUGAGUUUUUCUAUUGUUUUAAUUUUAGUUUUAGUAUAAUACCAUGCAUACUAUUGCAUAUUUGCACUUUUUUUUAUUUAAAGAAACCAAACCAAUGUAGAAAAGCAAUAAAAGUUUUU